AAGAAAUGUUCCUCUAAUAUUCUAGGUUCUUCUUACUGGUCCAAGAAUUACAUUGGCAUGAGACAGAAUAACAGAAGAAAACCAAACAAUUUUAAUAGCAUGUACAUGUGGGAGAAACCCAGGAAAACUGAGAAGAUUAGCCCUGAGCUAACUGCUGCCAAUCUCCCUCUUUUUGCUGAGGAAGACUGGCCCUGAGCUAAUAUCCAUGCCCAUCUUCCUCUACUUUAUAUGUGGGACGCCUGACACAGCAUGGCUUGACAAGUGGUGCUAUGUCUGCAUCCAGCUUCAAACCGGCGAACCUCAGGCCUCCGAAGCGGAACGUGCGAACUUAACCACUGCACCACUGGGCCGGCCCCCAAAAUGGCUAAUCUUUUAUUUAAACUGUUGCAUCUAUACACUUGGUUCAAAUUGUAGUUUAGUCCAUAUUUCACAUUUCUUUGAAUUUUCUAAUAAUCAAACCCAACAAAAGGCUGCAAGAAAUUUAUUUUUAAAAUAUAUUCAUAGAAAUGACACAACAUGGGAGCAAUGUUACUUGAAACUUUCAGAGAACUUGCCCUUCAAAUAGAUCAGACUUCCUGCAAUUGGGGGAAUAAAAA
rnacentral:lncRNA from 1 species